GCCUGUUUAUCAAAAACAUUUCUUUAAGAACUACUUUAAAGUAAAACCUGCUCAAUGUCUUCAUAAAUAGCCGCAGUAUUACUGUGCUAAGGUAGCAUAAUCAUUAGCCUUUUAAUUAAAGGAUAGUAUGAAUGGUUAAACGACGACGCUAUCUGUCUCUAAAUAUUGUAAUUAAUUUAAACUAAAAGUAAAAAGUCUUUUGAACCUAAGCAGGACGACAAGACCCUGACAAACUUAACCAUUCUGCUGGGGCGGCAAACUCAAAAAAACCUUAAAACACAAAUCAAAAUAAUACCCCAAUUUAAUAGUAAAAAGUUACUACAGGGAUAACAGCGCAACCUUCCCUCUAAAGAUCACAUAAAAAGGGAGACCUACGACCUCGAUGUUGAAUUAACUAGUCUUUUAGGAGCAA
rnacentral:rRNA from 1 species